rnacentral:rRNA from 1 species
UACAGAGGGUGCGAGCGUUAAUCGGAAUUACUGGGCGUAAAGCGCGCGUAGGCGGCUUUGCAAGUCGAUUGUGAAAUCCCCAGGCUUAACCUGGGAACUGCAUUCGAGACUGCAUAGCUAGAGUAUGGGAGAGGGAAGUGGAAUUCCACGUGUAGCAGUGAAAUGCGUAGAGAUGUGGAGGAACACCGAUGGCGAAGGCAGCCCCCUGGGUCAAGAUUGACGCUCGAUGCACGAAAGCGUGGGGAGCAAACAGG